rnacentral:rRNA from 1 species
AACGAACGCUGGCGGCAGGCCUAAUACAUGCAAGUCGAACGCACCGCAAGGUGAGUGGCAGACGGGUGAGUAACGCGUGGGAAUCUUCCUUGCAGUACGGAAUAACUCCGGGAAACCGGUGCUAAUACCGUAUACGUCCUUCGGGAGAAAGAUUUAUCGCUGCAAGAUGAGCCCGCGUCGGAUUAGCUAGUUGGUGGGGUAAAGGCCUACCAAGGCUACGAUCCGUAGCUGGUCUGAGAGGAUGAUCAGCCACACUGGGACUGAGACACGGCCCAGACUCCUACGGGAGGCAGCAGUAGGGAAUAUUGGACAAUGGGCGCAAGCCUGAUCCAGCCAUGCCGCGUGAGUGAAGAAGGCCUUAGGGUUGUAAAGCUCUUUUGGCGGGGAAGAUAAUGACGGUACCCGCAGAAUAAGCUCCGGCUAACUUCGUGCCAGCAGCCGCCGUAA